AGUGAGGAAUAUUGCACAAUGGAGGAAACUCUGAUGCAGCAACGCCGCGUGGAGGAUGACGCAUCUCGGUGUGUAAACUCCUUUUAUGAGUCAAGAAAAUGACGGUAGCUCAUGAAUAAGCACCGGCUAACUCCGUGCCAGCAGCCGCGGUAAUACGGGGGGUGCAAGCGUUACUCGGAAUCACUGGGCGUAAAGGACGCGUAGGCGGUCUAGCAAGUCAGGUGUGAAAGCCUAUGGCUCAACCAUAGAAUUGCACUUGAAACUGUUAGACUAGAGUAUGGGAGGGGCAGAUGGAAUUAGUGGUGUAGGGGUAAAAUCCGUAGAUAUCACUAGGAAUACCAAAAGCGAAGGCGAUCUGCUGGAACAUUACUGACGCUAAGGCGUGAAAGCGUGGGGAGCAAACAGGAUUAGAUACCCUGGUAGUCCACGCCCUAAACGAUGAACACUAGUCGUCGGAAGGCUUGUCCUUUCGGUGAUGCACUUAACAGAUUAAGUGUUCCGCCUGGGGAGUACGGUCGCAAGAUUAAAACUCAAAGGAAUAGACGGGGACCCGCACAAGUGGUGGAGCAUGUGGUUUAAUUCGAAGAUACGCGAAAAACCUUACCUGGCCUUGACAUUGAUAGAAUCCUAUAGAGAUAUGGGAGUGCCCUUUUGGGAGCUUGAAAACAGGUGCUGCACGGCUGUCGUCAGCUCGUGUCGUGAGAUGUUGGGUUAAGUCCCGCAACGAGCGCAACCCUCGUCCUUAGUUGCUAACAGUUUAGCUGAGCACUCUAGGGAGACUGCCUACGCAAGUAGGAGGAAGGUGAGGACGACGUCAAGUCAUCAUGGCCCUUACGGCCAGGGCUACACACGUGCUACAAUGGGGCAUACAGAGUGUUGCAAUACCGCGAGGUGGAGCCAAUCACUAAAAUGCCUCUCAGUUCGGAUUGUUCUCUGCAACUCGAGAGCAUGAAGCUGGAAUCACUAGUAAUCGUGGAUCAGCAUUGCCACGGUGAAUACGUUCCCGGGUCUUGUACUCACCGCCCGUCACACCAUGGGAGUUGAUUUCACCCGAAAUCGGGAAGCCAACCUUUAUGGGGGCUACCGCUUACGGUGGAAUUAGCGACUGGGGUG
rnacentral:rRNA from 1 species